rnacentral:rRNA from 1 species
CCAGGCCCUACGGGGCGCAGCAGUCGCGAAAACUUCACACUGGGGGCAACCCCGAUGAGGGAAUUCCUAGUGCUAGGACAUUUGUUCUAGCUUUUCUCAAGCGUAGAUAACUUGAGGAAUAAGGGCUGGGUAAGACGGGUGCCAGCCGCCGCGGUAAUACCUGCAGCCCAAGUGGUGGUCGAUUUUAUUGAAUCUAAAACGUUCGUAGCCGGUCUGGUAAAUCCUUGGGUAAAUCGGGGAGCUCAACUUUCCGAAUUCCGAGGAGACUGCCAGACUUGGGACCGGGAGAGGCUAGAGGUACUUCUGGGGUAGGGGUAAAAUCCUGUAAUCCUAGAAGGACCACCGGUGGCGAAGGCGUCUAGCUAGAACGGAUCCGACGGUGAGGGACGAAGCCCUGGGUCGCAAACGGGAUUAGAUACCCCGGUAGUCCAGGGUGUAAACGCUGCAGACUUGGUGUUGGAGGCCCUUCGGGGGCAUUCAGUGCCGGAGAGAAGUUGUUAAGUCUGCUACUUGGGGAGUACGUCCGCAAGGAUGAAACUUAAAGGAAUUGGCGGGGGAGCACCGCAACGGGAGGAGCGUGCGGUUUAAUUGGAGUCAACGCCGG